ACGAUUAAAAAUUUGGUGGAUUUUGGCCACCAUCCAAACACACCCUAAGCAACAAGGGUAAAACUUCCUUCUUUCCUUUGAUUUCCUUGAAAUAUCAGAAUAAACUUGAUGAUCGUACAGCUAUCGACAAUUGUCAACAAAGAACAAGGCAAAACAUACACUUCUGUUCUAACAAAAAAAAACAAAAGAAAAAUUAUCGAUGCAAAGAUGACGUGGUCUGGUAAGUCAUGACUCAUGGAUAUGCUUAUCUAUCUAUCUAUCUAUCAACAAAGUCAUACCAGUUUUCUAAGUAAAACUCCUGUCGUGCAGAAUAGCAGUCGUGUUUGUGUAGAUCGUUUUGAUUCAAGGCGAAUCUGGUAUCCAACAGUCUCACCAAGUUCUUCACCUCUCUCAGAUCCUACACGUGCUGCAACCGAUAUGGCAGAUAUACGGCGGGGUUGAGUACAUAUUAUGCUGCAAUCAGCACCCCGAAGGUUAUCUAUCUCCUCUUCUAGUAUGAACUGCGGAAGCUGUGUUGUUUUACCACAACCUGUCUCACCAGAAAUAACCAGAACCUGAAACAGUAAAUCCAAUAAGAAACUUAAAUUAAAUGUUUGUACUGAUCAGAACAACUAUAGAACCCUACAGCCCUACAGGAUAGGCAAUCUUAAGAAUAUAAUGAAUAUCACCACAUAAAAUACAUGAACGAAAACCACAAACAGUACAACAUUAAUUCUGCUAGCACUAAAAAGUACAUUAAUUCAAGUCAUUUAACUGUACCCAACAAUUCAAAAAACUACCAGUGAAAUUUACUACUGCCUACGUUUGUAAUUACAUGUUGUCCUAGAAAGCGUGCAGUCAAACUUCACCAGCUCUGAAUAAUAUCAUUAGAUUUCUUAUGAAAAAUAUUUUCAUAAUAUUGUAAUUUUAUAAAUUUUGACCAAUAUAUUCGUCUCAAAAGAGAUGGCCAAAGUUACAUGUUGCAGGCUAGGGAUGCAAGCGGGAUCCCGCAUAUAUUCUGCCACUAGGCCAACCUUCAAAUCUUAGGUCAAGACGUUUCGAACUAGCAAAUCCUAGUGUCCUAGAAGCAGGACAUAAGCAGGAUCCUGCUUGCAUCACUAUUGCAUACUGCCUAUUUCUAAAACGACAUGUAAUUCUCAAUGGAGGGAGUAAUUUACCAAGGCUAUAAACCCAAAAGUACCUCCCGGCAAAAAAAAAGUAAAAUAAACAGUACCAGGAUAGAUCAACCAUCUUAUAGUUCUUACUUCUUACCUGAUUGGAUGCUACUGCUUUCAAAAACUCCUCUCUCAUUUUGAAUGCUGGUAAUUUUUCCCUAAAAGACUGCAUUGCUCUAGCACUUGGCAUCAUCUGAAACAAAACAUAGGUGGUAUGCCUUAAGAAAUCUGGGUGAGAAGAUGCUCGAAGACUGACAGGGUUUGAUUCACUGGAAAAUCACUGCCAUUACCUUUUUUGAACUCUGCAGAUCCCUAAGCUGAGAACUGAGCUUUUGUUUAUCAACAUCCGUUGUUGAUUCAGGUACUACUGACGAGGAUGAGCUAGGCAAAGAUCGUCUCAAGACAGUGGAUGUGCUAGCAGAACCAUUGUUACUCGAUUGUGCCCUGGACAAAAGGGUUUCUACUCGUCUCUCUGUCUCAUUGGACAUCUUAAUCUGUCCAUGGUACAAACUUAAGUAUCAAUAAACAGAACUACACCAAUAUUGAGGUGUGCUAUCACUAAGAUAUUGCAUAACCUCAUUUUGUGUUGAUCCAUGCCUUUCAUCAAGCUCAGCCCGGUAAUCAGGCAGUGGCACUUUGCUAAAAACAAGUGUCUUCCCCUUGUUGUAUGCAUUGCUAUCCUCCCCAGGUUAAAACACAAGAGAGAGAGAGAGACUAGAAUUGUCAGAUUUAAAGUGUGAGCUAUAGGCAUAUCACAAAAAGAAUCAAACGAUUUAUAGGCAUAAACUCAGAUAGUCAUUCAUCUUCUGAAGACAAAAUCAUAAGUAAACUAGCAAUAAAUUACCAAAUUCAGGAAACAGUGAUUGACUGAUAACAGCAUUAUGUUGCAUAUAUUGACAGAAGUUAAUCAUGGUGGUAAUGAGAGAAAUAAGCACAGAAUAUCCAUCCUUACAAGUAAAGCCCGUGUCUCUGAGCCAUAUCUGCAAGUAUAUUCUGUCCAUCGCGUCCAAAAUUCUUCUUAACUACUAAUUCCUGCUGGGAUCCUUCUCUUAAUUGUCCAAUCUUAUUCCACCACUCAUUCUCAUCAACCUUUUCCACCUGAACAUUAGUCACAAGAAGAUAGAUCUUAAAUAGUUAACUACACAAGUACAAUUAAAUCAAAUGUAUCUUUUUGAAAUUGAGCGGACCAGUAAAGGUUGUGCAGGCCUACACCACCGUACCAUUUGGAUGGGAGGUGAUGUAGCUGAAACAGUUACUAACAACACAUUUGCACCGAACAAAUAUCACCAGAGAUGCGAUCAAAAGAUUUUGUGAACUCUAACUGGUGAUUGUUCAAACUUCCUGGAAACUAAAACAUCACACAGCUAACUCCAUUGCAGUAUGUAGGCCCGACAUAGCAGCAAAUUAGAAUUUAGAAAUAAACUUGUUGAUCAAUCUAUGUACCGACAUUAGCUACAGACUUCCGUGCUUUCAUACAAAAGUAUAACACACUUUAGAGUAUAAACUACAGGAGUCACAGGCUGACAGCAAUUUGCACUAAAACCACGACAAGUAUUUAGGAAUGGAGGGAGUACAUAUCACGAAAUCCACACGAAACAAGGAAAAGACCACCAAGCGACGGUGAUGCACCGGAGCAGAGCCCUCACCUCGCUGGCUAUCUGCCGCAGGCGCUCGGCGCGCCACUGCGGGUCCCACCACCUCUGCUCGCCCCGCCCACCGCCGCCACCGCCACGGCCUCCCCUGCCUCCUCCGCCGCGCCCGCGCCCGCGACCGCGCUGGGAGUUGGUGCCGCCGCCGCCGCGGCCACCGCGGUAGGACAUGACGGGUGUAGCUGCGACAGUUGUUGUGAGCGCCCUUAGGGUUCUGGUGGUAGUGGUGGUCGCGAAGGGGAAGCUUCUGCGGAAGAGGAGGCUGCCCCGACAGACUGGAGAACGGAGGAGCAUCUGGGCCGGGCGGUGGCAUGGACGUUCAGUUCCCGGCCGCACCGCCGCCGCGUGUUGGCGUGGCGCCUCACGGAGUAAGAGCUGUUUUGUUGGGCCGAUAAGUUUGCAGUCUGGGCUGGCAUUCCUGUGGGCCAUCGUUAACGGGACUUGUUCAUUUUAUUUUAUUUUGAAAGGAGGGACUUGUUCAUUUGAACUUCCUGCGGGUUCAAACGGAUUGUACUCCUCACUCUGUCCAACAACAUGGGGCAUAUUAUGGUUCGAUUGACCACAAAUUAAUUUAUGAAUAUGUGACUAAUGUGAUCAAAAUCAUAACCAUAAGUAAAUAUUCUUGAGUAGGAAUAUAAUGGAUAUGAAUCUAUGUCAUAUAAUAAUAUAUUAAUAGAGUAAUUUGGGUCAAAGCAUUGGUCAAAAGAAAUCUAAUACGUCCCUUUUUCUUGGACGGAGGUAGUACUCCGUACCUUAUUAUUUUCUAUUAGUACUUAUUUUUUGCACUAGAAAAAACUAGUAUUCCUCCGUUCAACAAAAGAUGUCUCAACUUUGACUAAAUUUAAAUGUAUCCCACUAAAUCAUGUUUUUUUAUACAUCCAAAUUUUGACAAAUUUAAGACAUCUUUUGUUGUACGGAGAGAGUACUUAUUUUUGCCUCAGUCCAGAGAAGAUGACCGUGAGGUGGCUCAUCAGCUGGCUGCUUUAACGAAAUCUACUCCCGGCAUUGUGCCUCUCAUACUGAAGGAUGUAACUCUAAAUCGUCAAUCAAUAAAAGGGUAUUAUGCUGUCAAAAAAAAAAAAAGAUGACCGUGAGCCAAACAAGGCUAGAGGGGUUUUGAUGAUUUGUCUAUUAGUUUCUUGGCAAGUUCAGGAUUUUAUCUGGACCCGGUCAAUUAUCUUUUACCUUUAUAUUGGAGAUUUAGGCAUGCAUAGAACUUAAUGGACAAUGUUCUGAGAAAAAAACUUUAGUGGUUUCCGAGAACUACAUGUGAACAGUGUCCUAGGCCCUCCCCGCACGAACUAUCUCUAUUUUUUCAAUUUUUCAUAAAGAAAAAGGCUAUCUACAUUCUGCUCUCCUUCUCAUGUUCCACAUGUCAUCUUGUCCCCCUGACAUCCCUUUUGUUGUUAACAUCGCCCCCUGACAUCCCCUUCUGUUGUUGACCUCGUCGCCACCUUCCUCCUUUCACUACGUGUACGCUCAUGGUGUCGCAGUGUUCGCUCCCUGAGACUUCAUUCUGAUUUUCCACAAAAGAAUUACUUGAAUAGCGAAAACUACAAACAAGGUUUCAACUAAAAUGGUUUAACUAGGUGAAUCAUAUGAUCCUGUUUUGUUGAAUAGAUUUUACAUAUUUUACUAUUUUGUCAUAUAUGUUUGGUAUAAUCGGUAGAAGACGACCUAAGAGGAAAUCUAUGAUAAGCUAAGCUUAGUGUUUUUAUCUUUAUAUAGAUAGAGUCAAGUUAGAUUGAUCUAAUAUGGCAGACACAACACCAUGGCCCUCUUCUUUUCGACUUUCAGGAUGGGUUUUCACGAGAAGCUGCUCUCUCCUGCCUUUCUGAAAAAACCGCAUGUGAAACUUUGCUAGACUUUCUAAACUAAUUUGGAAGCCUAGCAAAAAUUAUAAGAUGACUUCUCCAGAAAAUUGGAAAAGACUAGCUUCUCAGAGAAGCACAUCUUGAAAACCGAAAAGAAAGAGCCCUAUAACCUUUUACGACUUAUAGGUCUUUCUUCACUCAGGAGAGAGAGACAAUGAAGCUUCUUUUUGCUCAAACCGAAUAAUAUUACUCCCUCCGUUCUUUUUAUAAGAGCUUUGUCUAAGUCCAUGCUUAUAGAAAAAUAUAUUAAUACUUACAAUCGAAUAAGUAUACAAUGAAGACAUAUAUCAUAACACAUAACUAAUUUACAGAUGUAGAUAUUGGUAGAUUUUUUUUAUAAACUUGGAUAGAUUUAAAAAAAUUGUUGGUCCAUGGUUGGUCCAAAAGUUGGCAAGACUUGUGAAGAGGUUGGUAAGAUUUGUGAAGUUAUUGGUUACCAACCAAACUAAAACCCAAAUAGUAUAGAUUGCUAUAAGAACCAAACAGCCCCUAACUCACUAGAUUCCGUAGCUCAACAGGGAGACGCCAAUGGUCCUUGUUUAAUUCGGAACAUACUGAAAUCAUAUCACUCAAGGCUGGAAAGCUACCUACAUAACUUCAACUUUGGCUUGUACACAGGAAUGAGCACACC
rnacentral:lncRNA from 1 species